UCCGGCUUAACGCCGGCAGUCUCUCUAGAGUGCCCAACUGAAUGGUGGCAACUAAAGACGAAGGUUGCGCUCGUUGCGGGACUUAACCCAACACCUCACGACACGAGCUGACGACAGCCAUGCAGCACCUUCUCGUCCAUUCUCUUGCGAGCACUCCCACAUCUCUGCGGGAUUCGGACGGAUUUAACCCAGGUAAGGUUCUGCGCGUUGCUUCGAAUUAAACCACAUGCUCCACCGCUUGUGCGGGCCCCCGUCAAUUCCUUUGAGUUUCAACCUUGCGGUCGUACUCCCCAGGCGGGGUACUUCCUGCGUUAGCGCCGGCACCCAGAGGGUCGCUCCCCCAGGCACCUAGUACCCAUCGUUUACGGCGUGGACUAC
rnacentral:misc_RNA from 1 species